UCUCUCCCUUUUUCUCUCUCUCUCAGACACAUACGACCUGGUGGUUAUCUCGGGCGCUAUGGGCGAAGGUCACAUCCCACUCUGUGGCCUCGACGACCUGGUGCGCGUCGCAAAGAACGGAGGCUUCGUGAUCAUCGUGAUGCGCCUUGAGUACCUACAGACCGCGCCUUCAUACAAGGACAAGCUGGAGCAUUACAUGGACCUCCUGGAGGCGGAAGAAGGUGGAGCGGCGCAUCGUCCCAAACUAUUUAUGUGACAAGGAGGGUCUCGUCUUCGUCUUCCGCAUCACUAAGCCUGAGUGAGGAGGAAGAGGAGGGAAGGGAAAGGAGAGAGAUGAGGAGGAGGAGUUAUAGUGGUGCUGUGCCAAGGCUUUCUCUGUGUAACAGCCUUGGCUUUCGUCGCGGCACCCGAGACUGAGGUGUGAAUUAUUGUGCUCUGGCAACGUGGUAUCAUGGCGUCUACGAUGUUAUACGAUAGUCUACGCAUAGGACACAUUUGUCAGUAUUAAUCAUAUUAGUGAAAUUGUCGCAAAAAUCUGUUUUAGUUUAUAAGGCUGAGGCUGCAGAAUGCUUAACCUCAGACCUUGCUAUCAUCUCCGAUUGGGAUAAAAGGAACCUUGGGUCCUUCAAUGCCUCAAAAACCCAAUUUCUCCACCUAUCAACUCGACACAAUUUUCCAAACACCUAUCCCCUAUUCUUCAACUACACAUCCUUAACACAAAAUCUUAACUGGAAACCUCCCAUCUCUUCUCUCAUUAAGUCAGCUUCCUCGAGGUUGGGCGUUCUGUAUCGUCUCCCAGUUCUUCUUCCCCGCACAGCUGCUAUCCAUAUACAGGGGCCUUGUCCGCCCUCGUAUGGAGUAUGCAUCGCACGUGUGUGGGGGGGCUCCACCCACACAGCUCUUUUCUUAUCUUUCGGCCACUCCUCUGUUGUUAAAAAAAAUGAGGUCGCUGAUUAUGUAGCUGUAUGUGUGUUUGCAUGUGUAAUGGCAAGUUGCCAGAACACGAUAACGAAGACCUCAGAC